UCCCUUUGUUGGCAGGGGGAAUACCACGCUCAGUAAGGUGGUUUCUGUAGGGUAAGGCUCUUCCAUUGCACACUUCGGUUGUUUUGACCCCUGUGAUUUCCCAAAUGUGGGAAACUCAAAUGCAUAAUUUAUAUUUUAUGGCAACCUUGUAAUAUAUGCAUGUUUGCAAA